rnacentral:lncRNA from 1 species
AAUUCUCGAUGAAUCCAUAUGGCGCCGAUGCCGCUAUUAACAGCGGCGUAAUUAGUAUGAAGAACUUCAUCAUCUAAUCAAUACUAAACUUCAGUUUCUUCUUCUUCUUCUUCCAAACAAAAAAUUCUCAUUUCUUGUUGUUUCCAACUUCAGGUCCGCUUGGUCGAGUUUGUUAAAUUUGUAGAAAGGGAAAGGGGAUGAGUAAUUCAGAGAGCUUUCCGUUGGCUUCUGGUCAUUUCUCCAUUUUUUUCUUCCAAUUGUGUAAUGAGUUUCUUAGUAUGACAUCUUAUUUGAGCUCUAAAUCUUGUUGAAAUUUUAUUAUGUGUUGUAGUAUUGAGGUUUUAAUUUUGAUAUAUGGUGAUUGAUUGAUAAAGAGUUUUUUUUUUACAUGUUUAUGUGUAAAGAUUUUAUAUUUUCAGCUCAUUUAGUGUAAAUUUGAAAAUAAAAUUUGAUAGAUAGUGUAAUGGGUUCUCUAGCAAAUGAAUUUUCCAUCAUGGAUGAGAUCUUUGAUUAUUGAGAAUGGAGAAGGGAUGAUGACGGGAUUGAGGGAUUUGAUUCAAAAAUGCACUCUACAGAUGUUUUAGAUUGGGUCCG